rnacentral:rRNA from 1 species
GAUGAACGCUGGCGGCGUGCCUAAUACAUGCAAGUCGAGCGAACAGACGAGGAUCUUGCUCCGCUGACGUGAGCGGCGGACGGGUGAGUAACACGUGUAUAACCUACCUAUAAGACUGGUAUAACUUCGGGAAACCGGAUCUAAUACCGGAGAAUAUAUUGAACCGCAGGGUUCAAUGGUGAAAGACGGUUUUGCUGGCACUUAUCGAGGGAUCUGGGCCGCAUUAGCUAGUUGUUAAGUUAACGGCCUACCAAGGCAACGAUGCGUAGCCGACCUGAGAGGGUGAUAGGCCACACUGGAACUGAGACACGGUCCAGGCUACUACGGGAGGCAGCAGUAGGGAAUCUUCCGCAAUGGGCGAAAGCCUGACGGAGCAACGCCGCGUGAGUGACGAAGGUCUUCGGAUCGUAAAAAUCUGUUAUUAGGGAAGAACAGCUGUGGAAGUAAAUAUGGCCGUCUUGACGGUAACUAAUCAGAAAGCAACGGCUAACUACGUG